rnacentral:snRNA from 1 species
AUGCUUUAAACUUACAAGUUAGAAAAAAAAAAUGAUGGCAUGAUGUCUAAGCCCUCACUGCUAAUGUGAGACAAAUUUUUGAGCUAGUAAAGGUUUCUGCUAAAAUGACCCAUCUAACUUGUGGGAUGUCUAGGAGUCAUAAUCUGCUGU